rnacentral:rRNA from 1 species
CUGAACCUAAGCAUAUCAAUAAGCGGAGGA